UGGGGAAUAUUGGACAAUGGGGGGAACCCUGAUCCAGCCAUGCCGCGUGUGUGAAGAAGGCCUUAUGGUUGUAAAGCACUUUAAGCGAGGAGGAGGCUACUUUAGUUAAUACCUAGAGAUAGUGGACGUUACUCGCAGAAUAAGCACCGGCUAACUCUGUGCCAGCAGCCGCGGUAAUACAGAGGGUGCAAGCGUUAAUCGGAUUUACUGGGCGUAAAGCGCGCGUAGGCGGCUAAUUAAGUCAAAUGUGAAAUCCCCGAGCUUAACUUGGGAAUUGCAUUCGAUACUGGUUAGCUAGAGUGUGGGAGAGGAUGGUAGAAUUCCAGGUGUAGCGGUGAAAUGCGUAGAGAUCUGGAGGAAUACCGAUGGCGAAGGCAGCCAUCUGGCCUAACACUGACGCUGAGGUGCGAAAGCAUGGGGAGCAAACAGGAUUAGAUACCCAAGUAGUCCCUGAGCGGGCUGGCAAGGCGCAU
rnacentral:rRNA from 1 species